CCCCUGGUGGUUUAGUGGUUAGGAUGUGGCGCUCUCACCACUGCGGCCCGGGUUCAAUUCCCGGUUAGGGAA
rnacentral:tRNA from 1 species